rnacentral:rRNA from 1 species
AUGCCCGGCUCCACCGUGCUGCUGAUCGGCGCCUCCAUGGCUGCGCUCCUCGUCGUCUCCCUCUUCACCUUCCUCUGCUCCAACCGGCGCCAGGCGCACCGCGCAUCACCGUCGCCGUCACAUCAGAGCGUCGUCGACGUGGAGCUCGGCCUGCGGCGGACGUGCGGGGUCGACGAGGCCGUCCUGGCCGCUUACCCGACCACGGUGUACUCCUCGGCGGCUAGUCAACGGGACGAAGGCCAGAUAGCAGCUGCGGGCACCGCGUCGGCCGAUGGUGGCCAGCCGCCGGACGAAAAGCACACAACAUGUGCGGCGUGCCUGGCCGAGUACGCAGAUGGCGACGAGCUCCGGUGGCUGCCCGGGUGCCGGCAUGCGUUCCACCGGCCGUGCCUCGACGAAUGGCUGCGGCGGCGGUCGAGCUGCCGCACGUCGCCGCCACCGCCGCAUGCGGCUAUCGACUCCUGA